rnacentral:tRNA from 2 species
GAGGAAUUAGUUAAAUCAUAACACUGCCUUGUCAAGGCAAAAUUACAAGUUAAAACCCUGUACUCCUUU